rnacentral:rRNA from 1 species
UGGGGAAUAUUGGACAAUGGGCGCAAGCCUGAUCCAGCCAUGCCGCGUGAGUGAAGAAGGCCCUAGGGUUGUAAAGCUCUUUCAGCGGGGAAGAUGAUGACGGUACCCGCGGAAGAAGCCCCGGCUAACUCCGUGCCAGCAGCCGCGGUAAUACGGAGGGGGCAAGCGUUGUUCAGAAUUACUGGGCGUAAAGGGCGCGCAGGCGGCUGGUCGCGUCAGGUGUGAAAGCCCCGGGCUCAACCUGGGAACUGCACUUGAUACGGGCCGGCUAGAGGUCGAAAGAGGAGUGUGGAAUUCCCAGUGUAGAGGUGAAAUUCGUAGAUAUUGGGAAGAACACCAGUGGCGAAGGCGGCCAUCUGGACCGGCACUGACG